rnacentral:rRNA from 1 species
UACGUAGGGGGCAAGCGUUGUCCGGAUUUAUUGGGCGUAAAGAGCGUGUAGGCGGCCAUACAGGUCAGCUGUGAAAACUCGAGGCUCAACCUCGAGACGUCGGUUGAAACCGUUUGGCUAGAGUCCGGAAGAGGAGAGUGGAAUUCCCGGUGUAGCGGUGAAAUGCGUAGGUAUCGGGAGGAACACCUGUGGCGAAAGCGGCUCACUGGACCACAACUGACGCUGAGGCGCGAAAGCUAGGGGAGCAAACAGG